rnacentral:rRNA from 1 species
CCCGGCGAAGCAUCUUUAAACGGUUGCUGUUGAUAGCAGUACUAAGGUAGCACAAUAAAUAGUCCUUUAAUUGGGGAACAGUAUGAAUGGCGUGACGUGGGAAACUCUGUCUCAGGCUUAAGGGCCGAAAUUUACUUCUGUGUGAAAAGGCAUGGAUUAGCGCAUUAGACGAGAAGACCCCGUCGAGCUUGAUGAGGUCUACUUUGGGGUAAGUCAGACUGAAGUUUAGUUGGGGUGACUGGAUGCAAAAUUAACGUAUCUAAACAGAUGGUAAUGUGGAUCCUUUAUUAGGGAUAAGGAGAAAAAGCUACCGCGGGGAUAACAGCGUAAUGUCUUUGGAGAGAUCUUAUUGAAGAAGAAAGUUGCGACCUCGAUGUUGAAUUAGAGUGUUAUCCUGGCGCAGCAGUUGGGACGUGGGACUGUUCGUCCUUUAAAAUUCUUACGUGAUCUGAGUUCA